rnacentral:rRNA from 1 species
GGAUUAGAUACCCGGGUAGUCCACGCCGUAAACGAUGCAUGCUAGACGUUGGAGGGCUUAGCUCUCUUGUGUCGCAGCUAACGCACUAAGCAUGCCGCCUGGGGAGUACGGCCGCAAGGUUGAAACUCAAAUGAAUUGACGGGGGCCCGCACAAGCGGUGGAGUAUGUGGUUUAAUUCGACGCAACGCGAAGAACCUUACCAGUCCUUGACAUGUCCACUAUGGGUUUGAGAGAUCAAAUCCUUCACUUCGGGUGGGUGGAACACAGGUGCUGCAUGGCUGUCGUCAGCUCGUGUCGUGAGAUGUUGGGUUAAGUCCCGCAACGAGCGCAACCCUCAUCUUCAGUUGCCCCCGGG